rnacentral:rRNA from 1 species
AACGAACGUUAGCGGCGCGCCUAACACGUGCAAGUCGAACGCGACAGGGGCAACUCUGUUGAGUGGCGCACGGGUGAGUAACACGUAGGUAAUCUCCCCUCGAGUGGUGGAUAACUUUCCGAAAGGAGAGCUAAUACAGCAUAAGACCACGGCUUCGAAAGGAGCUGAGGUCAAAGCGGAGGAUCGCAAGACUUCGCGCUUGAGGAUGAGCCUGCGGCCCAUCAGGUAGUUGGCGGGGUAAUGGCCCACCAAGCCUUAGACGGGUAGCUGGUCUGAGAGGAUGAUCAGCCACACUGGAACUGAGACACGGUCCAGACUCCUACGGGAGGCAGCAGUGGGGAAUCUUGCGCAAUGGACGAAAGUCUGACGCAGCGACGCCGCGUGGGUGAUGAAGGCCUUCGGGUUGUAAAGCCCUGUGGGGAGGGACGAAUAAGUUGCAGCUAAUACCUGCAGCGAUGACGGUACCUCCUUAGCAAGCACCGGCUAACUCUGUGCCAGCAGCCGCAGUAACAC